rnacentral:rRNA from 1 species
AACGUAGGGUGCGAGCGUUAUCCGGAUUCACUGGGUGUAAAGCGCGUGCAGGUGGUCUCGUAAGUUGGACGUGAAAUCUCCUGGCUUAACUGGGAGGGGUCGUUCAAUACUGCGAGGCUGGAGGGCAGGAGAGGGAGGUGGAAUUCCCGGUGUAGUGGUGAAAUGCGUAGAUAUCGGGAGGAACACCAGUGGCGAAGGCGGCCUCCUGGCCUGCUCCUGACACUGAGACGCGAAAGCUAGGGGAGCGAACGGG